GAUGAACGCUGGCGGCGUGCCUAAUACAUGCAAGUCGAGCGAACAGACGAGGAGCUUGCUCCUCUGACGUUAGCGGCGGACGGGUGAGUAACACGUGGAUAACCUACCUAUAAGACUGGGAUAACUUCGGGAAACCGGAGCUAAUACCGGAUAAUAUAUUGAACCGCAUGGUUCAAUAGUGAAAGACGGUUUUGCUGUCACUUAUAGAUGGAUCCGCGCCGCAUUAGCUAGUUGGUAAGGUAACGGCUUACCAAGGCAACGAUGCGUAUCCGACCUGAGAGGGUGAUCGGCCACACUGGAACUGGGACACGGUCCAGACUCCUACGGGAGGCAGCAGUAGGGAACCUUCCGCAAUGGGCGAAAGCCUGACGGAGCAACGCCGCGUGAGUGAUGAAGGUCUUCGGAUCGUAAAACUCUGUUAUUAGGGAAGAACAAAUGUGUAAGUAACUAUGCACGUCUUGACGGUACCUAAUCAGAAAGCCACGGCUAACUACGUG
rnacentral:rRNA from 1 species